GACGAACGCUGGCGGCGUGCUUAACACAUGCAAGUCGAACGGAAAGGCCCUGCUUUUGUGGGGUGCUCGAGUGGCGAACGGGUGAGUAACACGUGAGUAACCUGCCCUUGACUUUGGGAUAACUUCAGGAAACUGGGGCUAAUACCGGAUAGGAGCUCCUGCUGCAUGGUGGGGGUUGGAAAGUUUCGGCGGUUGGGGAUGGACUCGCGGCUUAUCAGCUUGUUGGUGGGGUAGUGGCUUACCAAGGCUUUGACGGGUAGCCGGCCUGAGAGGGUGACCGGCGACAUUGGGACUGAGAGAAGGCCCAGAGUCCUACGGGAGGCAGCAGGGGGGAAUAUUGCACAAUGGGCUGGAGCCGGAUGCAGCAACGCCGCGUGCGGGAUGGCGGCGUUCGGGUUGUAAACCGAUUUCGCCUGUGACGAAGCGUGAGUGACGGUAAUGGGUAAAGAAGCACCGGCUACCUACGUG
rnacentral:rRNA from 1 species